rnacentral:rRNA from 1 species
UACAGGGGGUGCAAACGUUGCUCGGAAUCAUUGGGCGUAAAGCGCACGUAGGCGGUUCGUUAUGUCGGAUGUGAAAGCCCUUGGCUUAACCGAGGAAGUGCAUCCGAAACUGGCGAGCUAGAGUCCGGAAGAGGAGUGUGGAAUUCCCGGUGUAGCGGUGAAAUGCGCAGAUAUCGGGAAGAACACCCGUGGCGAAGGCGGCACUCUGGGACGGUACUGACGCUGAGACGCGAAAGCGUGGGGAGCGAACAGG